rnacentral:rRNA from 1 species
UACGGAGGGGGCUAGCGUUGUUCGGAAUUACUGGGCGUAAAGCGCACGUAGGCGGAUAUUUAAGUCAGGGGUGAAAUGCCGGAGGCUCAACCUCGGAACUGCCUUUGAUACUGGCGAUCUUAGAGCCCGGGAGAGGUGAGUGGAACUCCGAGUGUAGAGGUGAAAUUCGUAGAUAUUCGGAAGAACACCAGUGGCGAAGGCG